rnacentral:rRNA from 1 species
GAUGAACGCUAGCGGGAGGCUUAAUACAUGCAAGUCGAGCGCUCUGACUUCGGUAGGGGAGCGGUGCACGGGUGAGUAACACGUACGCAAUCUACCUUAAGCUGGGGGAUAGCCCUGGGAAACUGGGAGUAAUCCGCCAUAGUAUUUGAAGAUGGCAUCACCUUCAAAUUAAAGUGAUAGCGGCUUAAGAUGAGCGUGCGUCUGAUUAGCUAGUUGGCGAGGUAACGGCUCACCAAGGCGACGAUCAGUAAGGGGCGUGAGAGCGUGGCCCCUCACACGGGUACUGAGACACGGACCCGACUCCUACGGGAGGCAGCAGUAAGGAAUAUUGGACAAUGGGCGGAAGCCUGAUCCAGCCAUCCCGCGUGCGGGAUGAAGGCC